GACGAACGCUGGCGGCGUGCUUAACACAUGCAAGUCGAGCGGUAAGGCCCUUUCGGGGGUACACGAGCGGCGAACGGGUGAGUAACACGUGGGUGACCUGCCCUUAGCUCUGGGAUAAGCCUGGGAAACUGGGUCUAAUACCGGAUAUGACUCCAUGACGCAUGUUGUGGGGUGGAAAGCCUUGUGCGGCUAGGGGAUGGGCCCGCGGCCUAUCAGCUUGUUGGUGGGGUGACGGCCACCAAGGCGACGACGGGUAGCCGGCCUGAGAGGGCGACCGGCCACACUGGGACUGAGACACGGCCCAGACUCCUACGGGAGGCAGCAGUGGGGAAUCUUGCGCAAUGGGCGAAAGCCUGACGCAGCGACGCCGCGUGGGGA
rnacentral:rRNA from 1 species